AUGUGUAUAUUUUUUCAGUGGAAGGUAAUUUGUCCCGUCCCUGAGCUGUUCAUCAUAAAAGAGAGGAAGGUGAGAUGAGAUGACUGUGCAAGGCUGUGCUCAGGCACCUGGGUAACGGCCCCGGCUGGUGAUAGAUCACAUUUCCCUCCAGCAUAAACACUUUACACCGGCAGAGCUCUCCGACAACUGCUUACACGCAUG
rnacentral:misc_RNA from 1 species